rnacentral:tRNA from 1 species
UAUUUUAUGGCCUAGUUGGUCAAAGUACCGGUCUAGCGAAUACGGAGACGUGGGCUCAAAUCCCACCAGAGUAC